AGCGAUCAUUCAUAAUAAUAACAACGAUGAACGAUAGGCAACUUGGAGUGCCCUCACCACCCCGAGGACGCAGCAUCCUUCCAGAGGGACGUGAAGGUUGCAAGCGUGCUGUGACUCCACGUCAGGGCGAAGCCAAUGUGAUGCUCAACUGAGGAUCGCGACUUUCUUCUCCAGAAAACUGUGCGAGAUUAUGGCGCUGGUUGGCGCCAGCCUGAGUGUGAACCGUCGCUUCGGGGGAAUGGCCUCGCAUGGAAGAGGACAGGAGGAUGAUCUGGAUGGAGGUGGCCUCUGCACCCCAGUUCCCACAUGCAAG